rnacentral:lncRNA from 1 species
CUUUCUCUAGCUUGAGUCUGUGCUCUUUUUGAAUCAUCAUUGGUCAGCAGGAAGGGUGAGCCAUUUUUCCUUCUUUAUUAUUUUCUACUGUUCUGUAGUGCCUGUAUCCAUUUGAAGGCACUGUUAUUGUCUUCUUUUGUCAUACAACCCCCAAAUCCUUUUUCUCAGGGCUCCUCUUAAGCCAUUCUCUGCUUAACCUGUAUUUCGUCUUGAAAUUUCUCCUCCUUUGGUGCAAGAUUUCACACUUGAUCUUGUUGACCUUAAUGAGGUUGGCAUGGGCCUACCUCUCAAGCCUGUUCAGGUUCCUCUGGAUGGCAUCCCUUUACUCUAGCACAUCAAUUGCACCACUCAGCUUGUUGUCAUCUGCAAACUACUGUGGAUGCACUCAGUCCCCCUGUCUGUGUAGCCUAUGAAGGUGUUAAUUAACACCAAUCCCUGAGGAACACCAUUCAUCACCUACCUUCACUUGGACACUGAGCUGUUGACCGUAACUCUGAGUGCAACCAUCCAGCUAAUUCCUUUUCUGAUUAUUUGUGGAAGAAUACCACAGGAGAAAAAAAAAUCUAGGCUGGAGAUUUCAUAGAGUUCUACUAAUGUCUUAUUUACGAUCCACUGUUGUUUUCGUAACUUGCUUGCAAGGAGCAUGAAGAAAUUCAGCAUGUUCCUGAAACUGAGUUAAUGAGAUGAAACACAGAAUUUUUUCACAUCGUUCAUCAAAAGUACUUUUUACUCUUCAGGAGAAGAAAAGGACAGACAGAAACAGCAGACUACAGCCUGAGAGUAACAGAGUACAUAAAUUCUUGUUGACUUUUUGCAAUGACAUCACCUUCUAUCACUUCUUGCCAGUUCUGUCUUAUUUAGAUGACUGAGAGCAGAUGAAGUGGUCUGCUUCUUAUUAAUUCCUGGACUCUUUAUUUAGACUGUUAGUUUCUUGUUAUUUUUAGAUCUUUGUUAUAAAACACUUCAGUUUGUAUAUGAGCAUUACAUUUUUUUCUUUUCUGGGUAUAUCUGACACCUAUAUGUGAUUGAAUAAUUUCUUAGUAUUCUGAAAUGACUGUUACAGAAGAAUAUCUGGAGAAUAUAUAUAAAUUGAAUGCUUCAUAAAGGAAUGCUAC